rnacentral:lncRNA from 1 species
CUGAUCUAAAGAAACAUCAGGCCGGGCGCGGUGGCUCACGCCUGUAUGGGAGGCCGAGGCGGGUGGAUCACGAGGUCAGGAGAUCGAGACCACGGUGAAACCCCGUCUCUACUAAAAAUACAAAAAAAAUUAGCCGGGCGCGGUGGCGGGCGCCUGUAGCCCCAGCUACUCGGGAGGCUGAGCCAGGAGAAUGGCGUGAACCCGGGAGGCAGAGCUUGCAGUGAGCCGAGAUCGCUCCACGGCACUCCAGCUUGGGCAACAGAGCGAGACUCCAUCUUAAAAAAAAAAAAAAAAAGAAACAUCAGUGGAAGAGGAAGAAACUGCAGGUACAGGAAUAAACUUACGUGAUCCUCAUUUCAAGGAGAAGAAGGAGAAGUUGAAGAAGGAGGAGAAGGAGAAGGAUGAGAAGAAAAACAAGAAGAGGAAGGAGAAGGAGGAGGAAAAUGAGAAGGAGAAGAAGAGAAGGAACAGCAGCAGUUGCAGGAGGAGGAGAAAGAGGAGGAGGAGGAGGAGGGAGUGUGCAGAAGCUGGGGGGUAAAUGCAAUCUUGAGAAAUUCAGCACAGUUCCAACAGUGUGUGUUAUGCCUGGGCACGAAGGGUCCUACCUCAGCAAGAUCAAGGGGAUUCCAAUGUUGGAAGCAUUUUUAGCGUACAACAACAUCCAAGUGGAUUACUAUGAAUGCCUAGACCUCUAUGGCAAACAGUCUCUUCGUGGCCUGUGCUGAGGACUACAUCAGUCUCCUGCAAUUAUCAUCUACACUGAAAAACAAAGAGGACAGAGGCGAAGCUAGUGGCCCUCACCAUCCCCUGCAAGCUGAUUGCUUCUUACUGCAAGCACUUGAGCAUCUUCCUGAGAGCUUUCUUGGGCAAUGGGAACCAGGCUUGGCCCAAUCACAGGCAGGUGAAGUAUGAGGAAAUGGAGAAGGCAUUGUCCAAGGAGCAGUCUUCAACCUUCACCCCGCAAGUGAGACAACUCUGAAUAAGAUGUGUUCUACACUCUCUUCCAAAGGUCCCCAGUUGGAUGGAGCUCUAGCUGCUCAUGUGAUAAGCUGCCUAUUAAUACACAAAAGAUUGCCUUUCCUCCUUGCUCUGUCUUCCUGCUGCUCUCCUACUAAUGUUUCCUGGGAUUGCCUCCAAAUAAACCACUUGAACUCACA